GAUGAACGCUGACAGAAUGCUUAACACAUGCAAGUCGAUUCGAUUUACCUUCGGGUAUUGAGGAUGGCGGACGGGUGAGUAACGCGUAAGGAACUUGCCUCUUGGUCUGGGACAACUGUUGGAAACGACAGCUAAUACCGGAUAUUAUGAGAUUCUCGCAUGGGAAACUUAUGAAAGCUAUAUGCGCCAAGAGAGAGCCUUGCGUUCCAUUAGCUAGUUGGUGGGGUAACGGCCCACCAAGGCGACGAUGGAUAGCCGGCCUGAGAGGGUGAACGGCCACAAGGGGACUGAGACACGGCCCUUACUCCUACGGGAGGCAGCAGUGGGGAAUAUUGGACAAUGGGCCACAAGCCUGAUCCAGCAAUUCUGUGUGCACGAUGAAGGUCUUCGGAUUGUAAAGUGCUUUCAGUUGGGAAGAAGAAAGUGACGGUACCAACAGAAGAAGCGACGGCUAAAUACGUGCCAGCAGCCGCGGUAAUACGUAUGUCGCAAGCGUUAUCCGGAUUUAUUGGGCGUAAAGCGCGUCUAGGCGGAAAAAUAAGUCUGAUGUUAAAAUGCGGGGCUCAACUCCGUAUUGCGUUGGAAACUGUUUUUCUAGAGUACUGGAGAGGUGGGCGGAACUACAAGUGUAGAGGUGAAAUUCGUAGAUAUUUGUAGGAAUGCCGAUGGAGAAGUCAGCUCACUGGACAGAUACUGACGCUAAAGCGCGAAAGCNUGGGGAGCAAACAGGAUUAGAUACCC
rnacentral:rRNA from 1 species